rnacentral:rRNA from 1 species
UAAUACGUAGGUGGCAAGCGUUGUCCGGAUUUAUUGGGCGUAAAGCGCGCGCAGGCGGCUAUGUAAGUCUGGUGUUAAAGCCCGGAGCUCAACUCCGGUUCGCAUCGGAAACUGUGUAGCUUGAGUGCAGAAGAGGAAAGCGGUAUUCCACGUGUAGCGGUGAAAUGCGUAGAGAUGUGGAGGAACACCAGUGGCGAAGGCGGCUUUCUGGUCUGUAACUGACGCUGAGGCGCGAAAGCGUGGGGAGCAAACAGGAUUAGAUACCCUGGUAGUCCACGCCGUAAACGAUGAGUGCUAGGUGUUGGGGGUUUCAAUACCCUCAGUGCCGCAGCUAACGCAAUAAGCACUCCGCCUGGGGAGUACGCUCGCAAGAGUGAAACUUAAAGGAAUUGACGG